UGAAUCAAGGUUUAAACCUCGAGAUAGC
rnacentral:sRNA from 1 species